rnacentral:lncRNA from 1 species
AAAGCUCACAGCUUUCCCAUGAAUCGGAACUGAGUAGAGAGGAAAUACGUCUAUAAAUAAGACAAAAUACAAAAAAAAACAGAGGAGUUACAAGAUAGCAGAAGUCUAAAAGUGCCGAAACUCCGGCAGGAGAAAAUUACGCAAGAAAAAGGUCAAAGGGAUGCGACAGGAGUCAUUGGGAUGAUCUGCAAAUAAGAUAGGAAGCAGUGUAGCAAUUGUGGAUCGCUGAUCAAACAGUAAAGAAGAGAAACAGAGAGUCCAAUGGAGGUGAAAGGAGAUGGAAGUAAAGGGGAAGGAAACAAAGAUACUUUUGGGGAGAGUUGGAAGGAAGAGAAAUUGGUGGGCUAGUGUGGAGAAAGCAAAGAAGAAAACGACGGGGAACUGUCAAAAUUGUGUGUGGGAAUGUCCGUUGAUUUGUGAUUUGUUAAUUGGGGGAUUUGGAAUUGGAAGGCAAACCAUUGCGCACGGCUGGAAUGGACUGGAGUGGACGCGGAGAGACGGACGGAGAUCCAUAGGAAUCUCUAUCUACAGACUGUCACUCACUCACCCUCCUUCCUUU